GGAAAAUGGCAUGAUUAGACUUGCAUUUCAGAGCACUAUCCUACCUGUAAAGUAGAGAACAGAUUGGAAUGAAAGUAAGACUGGAGCUAAAAGGACUAGGUAGAAAGCUGAUGCAACAACACUCAAGGUGAGAGAUGGUGGAGCCCUCAGACAGUACAGAUGCCUCCUUGGAAAGAAGCCAGAGCAAUGGACAUGGUCUUGGUUGCAGAGUGAAUCUCUUUCAAGAUGAAGAACCUGCUUCUGAGGACAAGUCUGGAAGGGCAACUGAUGUCACCAGCAGAACCAGUGAGAGCUGGAGGUGACAUCAUGCUUCCCAAAUAUGCAAGAGGAAAAGGCAAAAGAGCUGAAGACAGGGCUGUCACUUACUCCUCCGUCCUGGAAGUUCUUCCCCAGAUUGACACAUGACUGGCCCUUUUUGAGAAUUCAACUGACUGCUCAGAUAUUAUCUUCUCA
rnacentral:lncRNA from 1 species